GACGAACCGUGCGAACGUUUAUUCGGAAUCACUGGGCUUAAAGCGCGUGUAGGCGGGUCGGCGCGUCGGUCGCUGAAAUCCCCCGGCUCAACCGGGGGAAGCGGCGCCGAUACGGCCGGCCUGGAGGGACGUAGGGGGGGCUGGAACUUCCGGUGGAGCGGUGAAAUGCGUUGAGAUCGGAAGGAACGCCCGUGGCGAAAGCGAGCCCCUGGACGUCUACUGACGCUGAGACGCGAAAGCCAGGGGGAGCGGAACGGG
rnacentral:rRNA from 1 species